rnacentral:rRNA from 1 species
GAUCAUGGCUCAGGACGAACGCUGGCGGCGUGCCUAAUACAUGCAAGUAGAACGCACAGUAUAUACCGUAGCUUGCUACACCAUAGACUGUGAGUUGCGAACGGGUGAGUAACGCGUAGGUAACCUGCCUGGUAGCGGGGGAUAACUAUUGGAAACGAUAGCUAAUACCGCAUAAUAUUGAUUAUUGCAUGAUAAUUGAUUGAAAGAUGCAACUGCAUC